UACAGAGGUGGCAAGCGUUGUUCGGAAUUACUGGGCGUAAAGGGCGCGUAGGCGGUCUUGCAAGUCCUGUGUGAAAUCCCUCGGCUCAACUGAGGAACUGCACAGGAAACUGCUUGGCUUGAGUUCGGGAGAGGGAAGCGGAAUUCCGGGUGUAGCGGUGAAAUGCGUAGAUAUCUGCAGGAACACCCGUGGCGAAGGCGGCUGGCUGGACCGCAACUGACGCUGAGGAACGAAAGCUAGGGGAGCAAACAGG
rnacentral:rRNA from 1 species